rnacentral:tmRNA from 1 species
GGGGGCGACUUGGCUUCGACGCCGGUUGCAAAACCUGAGGUGCAUGUCGAGAGGGUAGUGACUCUCGUUAAAAAAUCGCUGUAACUUUUAUAGUUGCCAACGACGAAAACUACGCACUAGCAGCUUAAACCUAGUUUAAGUUUGCUUGACCCGGGGCGGAUGUGCCCAUGUAUUCAAACCGGGUGCUCGACUCAUGGGACCGCUGUCAAACCCCGCUUGUGGUUGAAGCAGUUGAACAUAAAGCAAGCUCGCUUUUUGAUCCCUGCUUGUCGGGCCAGCAAAAAGUUAAAUAAUAGACAAAAUAAGCAUGUAGAGCUGAUGGCAGAGGACUGACGGACGCGGGUUCAAUUCCCGCCGCCUCCACCA